rnacentral:rRNA from 1 species
CCUACGGGUGGCAGCAGUGAGGAAUAUUGGUCAAUGGACGAGAGUCUGAACCAGCCAAGUAGCGUGAAGGAUGACUGCCCUAUGGGUUGUAAACUUCUUUUAUAUGGGAAUAAAACGUUCCACGUGUGGGAUUUUGUAUGUACCAUAUGAAUAAGGAUCGGCUAACUCCGUGCCAGCAGCCGCGGUAAGACGGAGGAUCCGAGCGUUAUCCGGAUUUAUUGGGUUUAAAGGGAGCGUAGGUGGAUUGUUAAGUCAGUUGUGAAAGUUUGCGGCUCAACCAUAAAAUUGCAGUUGAAACUGGCAGUCUUGAGUACAGUAGAGGUGGGCGGAAUUCGUGGUGUAGCGGUGAAAUGCUUAGAUAUCACGAAGAACUCCGAUUGCGAAGGCAGUUCACUGGACUGCAACUGACACUGAGGCUCGAAAGUGUGGGUAUCAAACAGGAGUAGAUACCCGAGUAGUC